CUUGAUGGAUGAUCAUGGUGUGUAUCACUCCAUAAAGAAUAUGGAUGUUUCAAGGUAACUAAACUGGUUAUCUGCACCAUUCCGAUCCCAUUUUAUCACGGUCAAAUAUUAAAGGAUGUCUCCAUCCUUUUUAAGUGUUUGGAUGCUUACCUCCAAUUAACAAACCAAGGACAAACCUUGGUAAUUUAAGUGCUAUCAGACAAAUCAGAAAUAUGAGUAUCCCAUUGGGAAAUUGCAUGAAGUCAAGGUUUAUUGUACAACACCAGUUUCUGAUUUUUAAUGACAAGUUUAUUUGGACAGUGCUGUGAUUUUUCUGGGAUCCUCAGUUGACUCAGCCUUUUAACCAGUCAACCGCAUGUGAAUAAGAUGACGCUAAUGGUCUACAUAGGACAUUUCGUCUUGGGAACAUCCGAAGUAGACGUGAAGGCAAGUUCUAGCAAGGUGACUCAGGGGGCUCAAACUCCAUCCCUCCCAAUGACCCCACGUUCCCACUGGACGAGUACAGUUGAUAAAGGACGUAAAGAUCAGCUCCCCCUUGGCCUUUAUAGAUUAACGAGUAUGAGCUGUCAGCACCUCUCAUCUCCAUUCCCAAUGAUUUACGUCAAGUUUAAUGAGCCUGCCAGGGCCAGAUAACACACUCACAAUGACUUCUGGGUCUGCUAUAU
ensembl:lncRNA